UACGAAGGGGGCUAGCGUUGCUCGGAAUCACUGGGCGUAAAGCGCACGUAGGCGGGUCCUUAAGUCGGGGGUGAAAUCCUGGAGCUCAACUCCAGAACUGCCUUCGAUACUGAGGAUCUCGAGUCCGGGAGAGGUGAGUGGAACUCCGAGUGUAGAGGUGAAAUUCGUAGAUAUUCGCAAGAACACCAGUGGCGAAGGCGGCUCACUGGCCCGGUACUGACGCUGAGGUGCGAAAGCGUGGGGAGCAAACAGG
rnacentral:rRNA from 1 species